CUCCGCUUCUCCCAGUAAACUGUGUCCUUCUUUUCUUCUGGCAUGAACUCCCGCUGGCGACGUAUGGAGGGGCCCCUGCCCCGAGCCCCCCACAAGGUCUUGCUAUGACUCUGAGACACAUCUGGCAGGCCCGAGAAACCCACAUCCAUAGCUGCUUGGAGAACCUGGGAAAAAGGAAAGAGUUCUUGGAGUAAUGGCAAAGGGUGGACCUGGAUGACCCCUUUCUCUAAUUUAUCCUUUGUCUCCACCAUCACCCAUGGAGGGGACAGGUGGAGUUGGAACUGAGCUGGAGACCAAGGUUCGAUCUUCAUCUGUUUGAUGCCCAGUGAAGAUUGGGUGAGGCCACAAAACAAGAAACUGCUAGAAAGGCUUAAGAGCAGACCACCGUCAUCAUGAAGAGCUGGUUCAACCCUGUACCCUCAGAAGGACACAUGCUCUUCCAGGGGUGUUCUCCUUACUGUUGAGAAGGUCAGCAGACAAGCCCAGGGCUCAGUUCAAUUGGAGUUCCAAGAUACAAAACAGGUGGAGAGAAAAACCACAGCAAGGCGGAAGGAGCCUGUCUAAAAAUUCAGAACAAACUUCAGGAAAGAAGGGGCACUGAGGGCUGAAAACCGAUCAUCUUUGUUCUGAAAACCGAUGACUGUCAUCUCCAUAAGGGCAUAUGUAUGUCUUUUUUGGUCUACUCUUGUAUCCCUGGUACCUAACAUUGUGCUUGUAAAUAGCAGGUGGUAAAUAAACACUUGUUGA
rnacentral:lncRNA from 1 species